rnacentral:rRNA from 1 species
GAUGAACGCUAGCUACAGGCUUAACACAUGCAAGUCGAGGGGUAACGAGAGGGAAGCUUGCUUUCCUUGUCGACGACCGGCGCACGGGUGAGUAACGCGUAUCCAACCUGCCCCCAACUAAGGAAUAACCUUGCGAAAGUAAGACUAAUACCUUAUAAUUUCCUCAGAUGACAUCUGACGAGGAAUAAAGAUUUAUCGGUUGUGGAUGGGGAUGCGUCUGAUUAGCUUGUUGGCGGGGUAACGGCCCACCAAGGCAACGAUCAGUAGGGGUUCUGAGAGGAAGGUCCCCCACAUUGGAACUGAGACACGGUCCAAACUCCUACGGGAGGCAGCAGUGAGGAAUAUUGGUCAAUGGGCGGAAGCCUGAACCAGCCAAGUAGCGUGCAGGAUGACGGCCCUAUGGGUUGUAAACUGCUUUUAUACAGGAAUAAAGUUAGCCACGUGUGGUUAUUUGUAGGUACUGUAUGAAUAAGGACCGGCUAAUUCCGUGCCAGCCGCCGCUGUAA